UACGGAGGGGGCUAGCGUUGUUCGGAAUUACUGGGCGUAAAGCGCACGUAGGCGGCUUUGUAAGUUAGAGGUGAAAGCCUGGUGCUCAACACCAGAACUGCCUUUAAGACUGCAUCGCUUGAAUCGCGGAGAGGUGAGUGGAAUUCCGAGUGUAGAGGUGAAAUUCGUAGAUAUUCGGAAGAACACCAGUGGCGAAGGCGGCUCACUGGACGCGUAUUGACGCUGAGGUGCGAAAGCGUGGGAGCA
rnacentral:rRNA from 1 species